CGGAGGAAAAGAAACUAACAAGGAUUCCCCUAGUAACGGCGAGUGAAGCGGGAAGAGCUCAAAUUUGUAAUCUGGCACCUUCGGUGUCCGAGUUGUAAUCUCGAGAAGUGUUUUCCGCGCCGGACCGCAUACAAGUCUGUUGGAAUACAGCGUCAUAGUGGUGAGAACCCCGUAACUGAUGCGGAUGCCCGGUGCUUUGUGAUACACUUUCGAAGAGUCGAGUUGUUUGGGAAUGCAGCUCAAAUUGGGUGGUAAAUUCCAUCUAAAGCUAAAUAUUGGCGAGAGACCGAUAGCGAACAAGUACCGUGAGGGAAAGAUGAAAAGCACUUUGGAAAGAGAGUUAACAGUACGUGAAAUUGUUGGAAGGGAAACGCUUGAAGUCAGACUUGCUAUUUGGAAUUCAGCCGCAAGGUGUACUUUUCAAUUCGCAGGCCAGCAUCAGUUUUCGGGGGUGGAAAAGGGUAGAGAGAAGGUAGCAAUUUCGGUUGUGUUAUAGCUCUUUGCUGGAUUCAUCCUUGGGGACUGAGGAACGCAGCACGCUUUUUGCAAGG
rnacentral:rRNA from 1 species